GUAGGGAAUAUUGGGCAAUGGAGGCAACUCUGACCCAGCCAUGCCGCGUGCAGGAUGACUGCCCUCUGGGUUGUAAACUGCUUUUAUACGGGAAGAAAAAAUACUACGUGUAGUAUACUGACGGUACCGUAAGAAUAAGGAUCGGCUAACUCCGUGCCAGCAGCCGCGGUAAUACGGAGGAUCCAAGCGUUGUCCGGAUUUAUUGGGUUUAAAGGGUGCGUAGGCGGAUCUUUAAGUCAGUGGUGAAAGCCUGCAGCUUAACUGUAGAAUUGCCAUUGAAACUGAAGAUCUUGAAUGUGGUUAAAGUAGGCGGAAUGUAUCAUGUAGCGGUGAAAUGCUUAGAUAUGAUACAGAACACCGAUAGCGAAGGCAGCUUGCUGAACCAUUAUUGACGCUGAGGCACGAAAGCGUGGGGAGCGAACAGGAUUAGAAACCCCGGUAGUCC
rnacentral:rRNA from 1 species